rnacentral:rRNA from 1 species
AACGAACGCUGGCGGCAUGCCUAACACAUGCAAGUCGAACGAGACCUUCGGGUCUAGUGGCGCACGUGUGCGUAACGCGUGGGAACCUGCCCUUAGGUUCGGAAUAACUCCCCGAAAGGGGUGCUAAUACCGGAUAAUGUCUUCGGACCAAAGAUUUAUCGCCUUUGGAUGGGCCCGCGUUGGAUUAGCUAGUUGGUAGGGUAAAAGCCUACCAAGGCGACGAUCCAUAGCUGGUCUGAGAGGAUGAUCAGCCACACUGGGACUGAGACACGGCCCAGACUCAUACGGGAGGCAGCAGUGGGGAAUAUUGGACAAUGGGCGAAAGACUGAUCCAGCAAUGCCGCGUGAGUGAUGAAGGCCUUAGGGUUGUAAAGCUCUUUUACCCGGGAUGAUAAUGACAGUACCGGGAGAAUAAGCGCCGGCUAACUCCGUG